rnacentral:rRNA from 1 species
GUAGGUGGCAAGCGUUAUCCGGAAUUAUUGGGCGUAAAGCGCGCGUAGGCGGUUUUUUAAGUCUGAUGUGAAAGCCCACGGCUCAACCGUGGAGGGUCAUUGGAAACUGGAAAACUUGAGUGCAGAAGAGGAAAGUGGAAUUCCAUGUGUAGCGGUGAAAUGCGCAGAGAUAUGGAGGAACACCAGUGGCGAAGGCGACUUUCUGGUCUGUAACUGACGCUGAUGUGCGA